UACAGAGGUCUCGAGCGUUGUUCGGAUUCAUUGGGCGUAAAGGGUGCGUAGGUGGUUCGGUAAGUCGGAUGUGAAAUCUCCAGGCUCAACCUGGAGGGGUCAUUCGAUACUGCCGUGACUAGAGGUCGGUAGGGGAGUGUGGAAUUCCUGGUGGAGCGGUGAAAUGCGCAGAUAUCAGGAGGAACACCCGUAGCGAAGGCGGCACUCUGGGCCGAUACUGACACUGAGGAGCGAAAGCGUGGGGAGCGAACAGG
rnacentral:rRNA from 1 species